AUUGAACGCUGGCGGCAGGCCUAACACAUGCAAGUCGAACGAGUGGCGGACGGGUGAGUAAUGUCUGGGAAACUGCCUGAUGGAGGGGGAUAACUACUGGAAACGGUAGCUAAUACCGCAUACCAUCGGAUGUGCCCAGAUGGGAUUAGCUAGUAGGUGGGGUAAAGGCUCACCUAGGCGACGAUCCCUAGCUGGUCUGAGAGGAUGACCAGCCACCCUGGACCUGAGCCACGGUCCAGACUCCUACGGGAGGCAGCAGUGGGGAAUAUUGCACAAUGGGCGCAAGCCUGAUACAGCCAUGCCGCGUGUACGAAGAAGGCCUUCGGGUUGUAAAGUACUUUCAGCGGGGAGGCGUUACCCGCAGAAGAAGCACCGGCUAACUCCGUGCCAGCCGCCGCGGUAAUUC
rnacentral:rRNA from 1 species